UCUUCACCAAAUUUCUCCUCCUCGUAAUCCUUCACUUGCAACAGCAUUAAGCGACCCAUCUUAGAGGAACAAUGAAAAAAGUAUCAAGAGUCUAAACAUGGCAACGGGCACUAAAAUAAGGUUUAACAACUAAUUAUCAUUCAACAGGACAUGUACAAUUUGUGGCUAAGAAUACCUCUUUAUUAAACAUCAAACCUACUGUGUCAACUUCUAUGAAGAGCAAAGAAGAUAGUCUUCUCUGGGGUGAAGUUGCUCUCAGAUAAAUUUCCAAACUUUGUUCAGAUUUUCAGAAAAAACAAAACAGAAAAAAAAGAUUGUAACAACUUCUAUGGAUAGUAUGUAAUUAUAAAAUCAUAAUUAAUGACAAGAUGGCUUUUGGAUGACUGCUUUCUCUGCUUUUUUACUCCUCCUUCUGCUCCAUCCUCUAAUAACUAUUAACUUAUAUUUGUGAUAAGAAAAUGAAAAUCAGUUGUAAAAAGAAAACAUUAUACAACAUGAUGUGAUGAAAUAAGAGGGGAAACAGAAAAGCCUUUGUCAGUACAACAACACACUGGAGAAAGAAAAAAAAUAAUUGUCUUAAACUUUAAAAUAGAAAUGCUAUUAUAAAAGUAAAUUGCCCAAAAUAGGAGCAAUAUGUUGGAGGCUGGAACUUCAUAAAGUUCCAGAAUUAAAUUUCCAGAUUUUCAAAACUUCUCCUUCCUUGCACUUACAAAGAGGAUGCUGAAGAAAACCAAAGAUAACACACAGAUUUAAUUUAAUUUAUUUGUCUCAAGAGUUUUAAAACUGAAGUAAAACUACUCUUGUUUCUCAAGCUAUGUUGGAUUUAAAUCCCUGGCAUAUAGAAGAAAUAACAAGUGGUAAAUAAUCUUAAAGUAAAUUUUUUUCAAGGGUUAUCAUUAUGUCUAGUGUGGCUGGAAAAAUAAAGAUUGUGUUGAGGAUCUCUGGAAGCUGAAAGUGGAUCUUUGGCACUAAUACUCCGGAUAAUGUGAAGAAAAAUGGGCACCAAUCAUUUGUAUUCUUUGACAUAGGGUCAUGGAUCUCUUCCAGUCCUACGCUCUGUAAAUAUGCUAAAAAGUAAAUAUGCCUCACUUCUGUCCUGAGAGUAUACAGAGUGCAUGUGCUCACAACAUACUGAAGUGACUUGCCUAGUGUCACACAAGUCAGGAGUGAAACCAGAAACUAAAUCUCCAAUUAAAGACACUCCAGACAAAAAUCCUAGACAAUCUUUACCUCAUUCCUCUAUAUAAAUGGAAGAAUUUUACGCCUGUGUAUUUCAAGUUGAAUGAUACACCAAAGAAGAAAGACAAGAAAGGGAAAAAAAGUACAGCAUGCCCAGAAGAACACAGAUAGGGUUUCAAAUACCUUUGAAGCUGAAGGAAGCAGUGGUGGAGAAAUAUUUUGAAGGUCAGAUAGAAGGUAAAUAAAUCAGGUAGAUGAAGGAAAGGAGUAUGAAGGUCAUAGGGAUAUUGGAAAAGAGGAGGACUGUCAGCUAAAGGGGAGAAAAAGAUGUCGACCUUGAGAAAAUGAGAUCAGGAAAGAAAGAAUGAAGAGGUUGGAGGAAAAAUGCUCCUGAACCAAAAUCCAAUAAAUAAGCUGGAAAAACACUUGUAACUUUAGUGGGUACUGUAUCACGCCAAACUUGACAGAAAAAAACAGGUAGA